GCCUGGGUGGCUCAGUCGGUUAAGCAUCUGACUUUGGCUCAGGUCAUAAUUUCAUGAUUCGUGGGUUCGAGUCCCACUUCAGGCU